GUGCUAGCACUCUAGGCCACAGCACAUAUAAUAAAAUUGGAACGAUACAGAGAAGAUCAGCAUGGUCCCUGCACAAGGACCAUAAUCACACAUAUAAAUAUAUUUUAUUUUA